UGAAAAUUUGAAUGAUUUUCUACUUCUAUAUAAAUAGGAGAUCUUGUACAUAUUCGUUAUACCUAUAAAAGUUUUUUAAGAAAUGACAGACACUUAAAUAAGUAAACUAAGUCACAAAGUUAUAAAAGUAAUCAGUAUCUUAAUAACAAUUUAUUUUAUCACAAGACUUAAUAUUUUUGAAUAAUACACAUUGACUUACUAAUUGCGUCUCUAUGCCACCAAUCCCACCUACU
rnacentral:lncRNA from 1 species